rnacentral:lncRNA from 1 species
CUUCCAGUGUCCUUCCCUAACUUUUUGGAGCCUAAAUUUUUAUUUUUAAGACAUGAGUGUCUUAUCUAAGUACCCACCAAAUUUCAAGCCUUUUCGGCAACGUUUACUAUUUUUCAAAAAUCAAAGUUUUCAAUUGCUCAAAACUGCCGAAUAUGGUAGACUGUAGGAAAACAGUCAUAUCUCCUAAACUACUUGGAGUUUUUCAUCCUACUUUUUUUUGAAUGAAACUAGACUCAAAGAGGUUUUAAAUGGUAUAGGUCAUGACUCCAGUGGAGCUCUGUACCGAAUCUGGUGAAGUCUUUAAAUCGAGUCAGUGCAGAAUGAUGUUUGUUUGUGACAUGUCUAUGUGUGAAUUUAUAUGUUUAUGUGAUUAUGCUUGUUUAUGUGCUUGAUUGCUAUGAGUUUAAUUCGAGUUGAGUGUUAAGUCGAGAGUAGGACUUGUGAAUCCUUAGGAGUUAAGUAUACCUAGGGAUUGAGAUUUAGUUGGGUAAAUAGAAGAUGAGUGAUAAGUUAAAGUUUGAGAUGAGAUUGGAUCUUAGUAAAUGAGUUUCUAACUGAGGUUUAUCUUAUCUCAUGAACCACUCCGACGUUGUGACAUCUGAAUAUACAAGCAGAGGACGGAGGUAAGAUCGUCCAAGUACUACGAGAGUAAGCUAAGUUUGUCAGGUGGGCAUUAUUUUGAUAUACCUAUUAUACGAGCUUUCUUAAAUGAUAGGAUAUUUAUGAUUAUGAAUUGAGUUAAUGUUAUGCUUGAAACUAAUUGACUUGCCGAGUUUUGUUAAUAAUGACUUGUGUGUUACCCUCUACUGUUGAGACGAAUUCGGUCCUGCCACAAGCGGGAUUUUGUGCACAGAGGUGACUGUGAGCCGUCUAUCGGGUCGGCCGGUCACGGUACUUGAGAGGGAGGCCUACUUCUCAGUACCUUUAAUGAUGAGUAGUGGAUGUGGUACAUACAUAAUGAAUGUUUAAACUGCGCAGUUACUUUAUUAUGAUGUUAUGAUUUACGAAAUUGCAUGCACAGGUUCUUCUCUAACUAAAACCCCUGUGUGUUGCUUAAUGUGGCAAGUUCAAUUUAUAGCUCUAAGAGCAAGCUUUCUUUUGUUUUUCGGCAUAUGUCCACUGAGUACCUUGUACUCAGCCCUGCAUGUAUUUCUAAAUGUGCAGGAUAAGCGAGGAGGAGGAAGAUCGGUCUGGUGCUGGCGGGGACUUAUUUUGGAUGACAUUGUUCCUUUUACCGUAUUUAUAUUACACACGGUAGCUUUUUGAUGUCGAUGUUUAUAUUUUGGACUUAGUCAAGAAGUAUACUCUCGGCUAUAUGUCUUCAUACAUAUAGUCUGUUCACGUUUUGCUGCGAGACUCUGUAAAUUAUGAACCUUUGUGAAUUUUUAACUAUGUCCGCUUUGUAAACUUUGUCGAGAAUCCCUGUACUUUUGAACUUAUGAAGCCGAUAAUAUUUGUGUCUUUGAGAUGAUGUUAUUGUUAUUCACUUUUGCUUGUGUUGUUGUGAGCUUCCGCUUGUUGUUUGAUCUAGUUUUUCCUUCUUUACUUCAUUAUUUUAUUUAGUCGUAUCGAUACUCGGUCUACGCUAUCACUGGCUAGACGUCGGGCUGCGACAGAGUGGUAUCAGAGCAGGUCGUCUGCUCUGAGUCUAUUUCUUGAUUGAGUCGAAACCCUUGAUUUCAUCUAUUCUUGAAUUGAGUCUAGUCUAACUUGAAUUCUUAGGCUAGUUUGAAAGUUAAGUUUGAGAGUGAGUUUGAAUCGAGAACCCCAGCACCUCCAUCUCCUCCGGCUUAUCGAGGUAAGAGGUUACUGUUGUCCUUUAUUGCUUUUAUGAUGAGAGUGAGCAUGCAUUACUAAUAAGUUAUGUAUUGUUCCGAUGGGCGGAUGUGACCGAGACGAUGGAUCGUGUUAUGUGCAAGCAAUAUUUCUAUAUGAAGGAAUAUCAGUGAUCGUUGCCCUAAUAGGGUACCAACGAGAAUGAGCAUGUUGUCGAUGUGAGAUAUACUAAGUAAGUUUCGGUACCUUAGUUUAUAAUAAUUGCUAUUUCUUCCUUGCAGGAGCGAGAGCUCGACAAUUGAGAUAGUACGAAGAGAAUUUAGAGAUUUCAUUAGAAUUCUAGGGAUAACUUAGAGGAGUUUCUAGGAAUCUAUCACAGACGUUGGCUUAAGGCUUUCCAGUUCGGAGAUUGACAGCGUCAAAGGUGCUCUACUCUUGUUGCCACUACUACCGCUGAAGUAGCAGAAAUAGAGAGCUUUCUAAUAUCGAAGUUUGUUGACAAGACACUGAUAAGGUUAACGUACUAUAGAGACCUUAGGGGAUGCGUAGAUACUCUUGAACACUAGUACUUUAUAAUAGAGGUAUUUUUCCCGGGACCGCGUUUAUUGUCGCUAGAUUAGUUUAUGAGCGUGGACUCACUGAGCCUUUACCCUAUUAUGAUCAUAUUUCAAUCUUUAUUGCGCCCAUUUGAGCCCAUGCUAGAGCCCGAGCCGUUUGUACUCGAGUUGAUUUUUGCCAGAUCCCAUUGCUUCGAGCCUGAGCCGUUUGUAUUGGAGAUCUUUACUUUGAUGCUGGAGAUUAAUUCAUCUUUCGUUUGGUCGAUUGUCCCUUUUUCCAGUAUUGAAUUGCUUUCAUUAUAUCCCAAUUUCUGUUCUAGUUUUUAUUCCAGCAUCUGAUUUUACACUGAUUGUGACUUUUUCAUCUAUUCUUGAGACAUCACCAAUUGCUGUGGAAUCCUUCCUCUACUUGAACUCGCUUUUAUAAGGUUCAGGCAUUUUUAUUCAUCAUAUCUGAUUUCUUACCAUACCCAACAUGAGUUAGGGAUGUCUAGGUAACUAGGAUGGUAUAGCGAGAAUGAUGAUCCGUAGAAAGACGAUUCACGAGAAUAGUUGGUAGGAUACAUAUAUUACGGGACGAGAGCAACUAUCAGACCAUGGAUUCUCUCCCCUCAGCCACCCAUGGAGAAGGCUAACCAUUUCGAGGACGAGGAGAAGUGAUGCUGAGCCAGAUCAGGCAAUAGCAAAUUCUGAGGAGGAUUGAGUUGACGGUUUGGACCAGAUGAUGAUUUUCACGAUAGGAGAUUGAGAUGAUGAUUAGUAUAGAAGUAGCAUCACAGUAGUAUUAGGGAUGUUCCUUUUUUUAUAUAUAAUACUUUCCCCUUUUUAUGAAGAGGUCCCCGCAUGAGGAGAAUUUCUAUAGAGAUAUGUAUAUAUGAAAUGAUGAUGAGAUGGUCUUUAGAUUUCCGAUAAGCUUUCAUUUGUACGCUCUAAUUAUGAGAUGUUUGGAUAUGGACAUUGUUUAGCAUGAAUUGCAAUCAUGAGAUAUGAUUAUAGCAGUGAGAAUAUGGUUUUGUGAACCAACGAUGUAUGAGAAUCUAUUUUAUGCUAACUUAUGUGUCUAUUUAGUAUGCCACCGAGAAGAAGAAACCAAAAUCAAGAAGAAGAGGAAGAAGAUCCUAGAGAUCCUACACCGCCACCACCUUCACCAACUGAAAGAAGGAUUGAGGAACUCUUUUUACGACAGAAUCCACCAAUUUUCAAUGGAACGGGAGAUCCUGCAGAAGCAGAAGAGUGGAUUCGUAGCAUGGAGCGAAUCUUCCGAUUUCUCCGGUGUAACGACCAGGAGCGUCUUAUGUGCAUGUCUUAUCAAUUGAAAGGAUCGGCGGAUUUCUGGUGGGAGGCUAAACAGAAAACCUUAACUCCAGAACAGUUAGAAAACUUUACUUGGGAGCAAUUUAAAGCAGCCAUCUAUGAAAAGUAUAUACCCAGGAGCUAUCGCAAGCAGAAAGAAAUGGAGUUUGUUAACCUUAAGCAAGGACAGAAAACAGUAGCGGAAUAUGAUCGAGAGUUCUGCGACUUAGCCCGUUAUGCGCCAUAUCGGGUAGAUACUGAUGAGAAGAUGUCUGAUUUAUUCUGUUCCGGACUGAAGCAAGAGUUUAGGGUUGUGUUAGCAAGUCAAAGUGCACUUACUUAUGCGGAGGCCUUAAAUAGGGCACUCGACAUGGAACUGGCCAUGCAACCAGAUAGAACUGCACAAGAGCCAGUAAUCACGGCGACCCCAAUCACACAAGUAUCUAAUUCACCUAUUUCUGGACGAGGACUGAAGGAAAAGCGAAUGUGGGAUAAUCGUGUUCCAGAAGCUAAUAGGCCAUGGCAAGGUGUGAAUGCGCAGCCACAGUUCCAAGGACAAGUCAAGCGACAGUUAGGUAGACCAAAUGUUCCACCACAAGGGCCCCAAGGAGCACCACCAUGUCCUAAGUGUCACAAGCUACACUUGGGAGUAUGUAGAGCUGGAACCAAUAGCUGCUUCACAUGCGGGAGAAUUGGGCAUUUCUCCAACCAAUGUCCCAAUCGUCAGCAAGGAACGAGUGGGAGAACAUCGAGCCAGUAUCAACAACCCCAGCUCAGAGCGAUGGAGGAAAUUCUUCCACUACCUCAACCUUUACGACGUCGACGACACCGCCGAAAAUAUCAGUCGAAGAAUUACCAUCAUGAGUCCCAACCAGAUCAACAACAAAUCCAGUAUCAACAAAUUUUAGCGAUCGAGCAAAAGCCUCAGGACGAGAAUCAAGAGAAUUCGGCAGGUAUGGAAGGACUUAAAUGAGCACUACUCGUAACCUUGUUUGAUUCGGGUGCUUCGCACUCUCUUAUUUUUUUUUUACACGUGCGUGAACACAUUAGAACUCGAUAUAGAACCAACUCGGUAGCAUUAAAAGUAGCUACAUCCUUAGGCCAUAUCACCACCAUUACGUGUGUAUGUCCUAACUUAGAAUUCGAAUCAGGAACGCAUAAGCUUAUGGCUAAGACUCUGAGACUAAUGCGUGCGUGGAGCAUAGAUACUAUUUUGAAAAUAGAUUAGUUAUCCGAUUUUAUACGACGAUACAACGCGAGGAGAAGUGGAUUUCGUUCCAGCCAUCCGAUGAGGGACCUACACGCGGCACUAAGAGGAAUUGGAAGAAAACACUAACUAUCAAAGACGCGACACAAUAGUAGUUACCCGAACACAGAACAAGAAUCUAGAGUAAAGAACGAUGACAAGGCAAAUGAUCUGCGCCUCACAGCGGAGCAUCUACGGAGUUUCAGGACUUCAAGAUACAGAAAGAAGACAUCCCAACGAUGGCGUUUCACACAAGAUACAGUCUCUAUGAUGUUAUAGUGAUACCUUUCGGACAGAAGGAUAUAGAUAUAGGUUUUAGUUAUCGAAGAAAAGAAAUGAUUACUACCCCAAUACUCACAGUCCUCGAAACGGACGAGGAAUACGUUAUUUAUGCAGAUGUAGUAAAGAACGCUACACAGUACAUUUUUGAAGCAUGGAACAUUAUCAAGACUUGAAGACAAAGUUUCGAUGGAGAGGCAUGAAACGAGAAGAUAGCUUCAUUCGUAUAACGAUGCUUGGGCCAUUGGGAAGUGAAGGCGCUACAUCAGCAAUCCUAUAGGAGGCUACAAUUGUUAGCAAUUCCAGAAAGGAAGUCAGACCACAUUGCUAGAGACUCGGUCACAAUAUUGCCAAAGGCGAGGAGAGAAAAGACGAUAGUUUGUGAGAUCAUGUGAUUGCAUGAAGCCUCGACAACGAUCACCAUGGAUGGGGAUUCUAAGUUUACCUCACACCUCUGAAUGAGCCUGCCGAAGAAGUUAGGCUUUAGAUUGAAUUUCAGCACUGUUUUGCUUUUUCAUAGACGGAUGGACAAUCUGAGAGGACCGUUUACAUUCUAGAUGAUAUAGUUUAGACAGUGGUUUUAGAAAAAUGAGCUCAAUGUGAACAACUUCUGCUCAAAUCAAGUUUUUCGAUGACAAUAGUUUCUAGGCCGCUAUGACCAUGGCACCGCACGAAGCGCUCAACGGAAGAAUGUGUCAAACCCCGUUUUAUUGGGAUAAAAAAAAGAGAAAGAGAAGAUACCGAGUCAUGAAGCAGUAAAAGAAACGAUCGCUACCCUGCGACAAACUCGACAAAGAAUUAAGGAGGCACAUGACCACCAAAACUCUUACACGGAUACCAGAAGAACGAAGAUUCAAUUCGAAGUUGAAGAUAAAGUUUUUCUAAAAGUUUCCCCAUCCAGCGGAGAGCAUUGUUUCGAAAUACAAAGGAAAGCUUAAACCAAGAUAUAUAGGACUGUAUGAUAUACUAGAGAAAAUAGGCCCUAUUGCCUAUAGUUUUGCGACGCCGCCAAGCUUUGCGAACGUCAAUGAAGUUAGCACGUGUUUCAACGGAGGAAGUACACGCUAAAUCCUAAACUUGUCAUUCGCCAAGAAGAAUUCUCUCUUGAACCAGAUUUGAGCCAUGAAGAGAAGACCUGAAGUUAUUCUAGACAGGAAGAUUCAACAACUGCGAAACAAGUUGAUUUGCUUUGGUAAAGAUCCAAUGGAGACAUCACAGUCAAGAGGAAGCAACUUGGGAACUCGAAGAGAAGAUGGAAAAAAAAUACCCUGAGCUCUUUCCCGAUGGCGAGUAACACAAAUUUCGGGACGAAUUUUUUUUAAGGGGGGUAGGAUGUGACACCCCGCAGUUUUCCAUACUAUUUAUUUUGAGGAUUCACUUUUAAGAGUGUCGAGAUUCUAGCAUUAGCUUAUUAGGGUUGGAAUUUUUUUUUUAAUAAGAUUGAGAUGUGAGUAUUUUAGAAGUUGAUGAUAGAACUAGUGGGUGAAUUUUUUUUUAAUAUAAUGAGUUUUUGAUAGAAAUGCUGAUUAAAUUGAGGAGAUGAUGUAGUUUGUGUUUCCGAUAAAGAAAGCUUAAUUAAUUUUUAGACGAUUUAUAGUGUUAAGUUAAGAGGAUACCUGGCUAGAUAUAGAGCCGAUGUGAGUGAGUGAGACUUACUAUAGAGAUGAGUCGAAUUCAUGAGACAAUUAAAUUGUCGUUAGAUUUUGACUGAUUGAGAGGUCAUGUUUGAGUGAGAAUAAUUUAUUUUUUUUAUGUGACCUACGUGGUGAUAACAGUUGAGAUCGAUUGAUUUAUAAUUUUCUUGGACGUUGUAACAUAGAGAUAAUUUUUUUUUUGGUGAAUUGUGAUCUCACUUUUAUAUUAUAAUUUUUCCUAAUGGAAUUUCUAAGAAUUUAUUUUAAUGAGCUAGAUGUGAUGUGAAUUAGGUGUAUUCUAAUUAUGAUUAAUUAUUUGAUCACACCAUUGGAUGAUAUUGAUUUAUGGUUUUUAAUUAGUAAGUGAUUUUCCCUAACUUAGCUUUUCCUACAAGAUUGAUCUCAUUAAUUAGUGUAGUAUUGAGCAAGCCACGUAUGAGAGCUUUAAUUGUGCAUUAAUUAAUUGGAUGACUUAGUGGGCAAGUUGCAAGUGUGAAGUGUUGGAGAAGCUAGAUUAGUAGCUUAGUGAGCAAGUUUAAGCUUUAAACAAAACAUCUCUCUCUCUCUUCUCUCCCCCUCAUUUUCGAUCUCUCUCUCCCUCUCUCCUUCUCACUUUCUUUUCUCUCUCUACCACCAUUGAUGGUCGUUACCAAGCUCCAAGAAUCAUUCUCAUACUUAGAUCUAUCCUAAAUCAAGUUCUAAACAUCCAUUUCCUUUUAAUCAAGCCAAGAUUUGAAGAGUUUCUCAAGGUUGAAGUCAAAGAAAGAUUUUUAUUAUUUCCAAAUCCUUGAGUAAGUGAUGAAUCCUUUUAUAUCUAGACUUAUUUAUCUUGGAUAUGUGUGUAUAUAGUGAGAUCAAAGCAAAAAAACACCCCUAUCCAUUUUAAAAAUUUUCAAAAAUUAGGGACUUAUACCCUUCAAAAAAAUUUAUUUUCUUUUAUUAAAUUGAGGUUAUUUAAAUACUAUUGGGAUCCUAAUGAGUCUAUUUCCAUGUGUAGAUAAUGGAUUUAAAAAGAGAUAUGAGACUUGAAAUAGUUUAGUUUGUGUAAAUUUGGGAAGUUUUGGAUUCGAGGCUCGAUUGAUGAAUUGAUGAUGAUAUAUGCUAUUGAGAGUGCUAAUAUGAGAUUUGAUGGAUUGAAUUGAUGAUUGAAAUUGAUUAGUAUUUUUGAUAUGAGUUAGUUUGAUGUAAUUUGGGUAAAAUUGAUUCUAUUGGUUUAAUUCACUAAUUGAUUGUUUAUUUAUGCUUUUAAGUGUGCCAAUUUGAUAGAUCUAAGGUUGGAUUAAUGAUUUAUGCAUGUUUACUAAAUUUUACAAAAAGUUUUAGUUUAGGUAAAAAUUGGGACUUUGUGAUCUAUGUGUUAAUUGAUUAAAUUGGCUAAGUUUAAUUGUUAUUAAGCAUGAUAGAAAUGAUAAUUAGGGAUCAAUUUUAGUUAAUUGUCAAGAAAGCCUAAAAUUGGUUAAGUUUUAGUUUACUAAUAAUUGGGAACUUUUGAUUAACAAGAUAAAUACUUGAAUUGAUGAUGUUUAUGUGUUAGUUAGAUUACUAGGUAAAGGAAAGCAUGAUUAAAUUGUUUAUUUAAUAAUGAGUUGUGAAAAUUUUUCGAGUUUAGUUUGCGUGCAUACUUGAGAUCUUGUGUAUAUAAGAUGAAUUAUGAGUUGAGCAUUGUCUAUAUGUGGCUUAUUGAUGAUGAAUUGAGCUUAUUAUANUGAUGAUAACAGUUGAGAUCGAUUGAUUUAUAAUUUUCCUUGGACGUGUAACACAAAGAUGAUUUUUUUUAAAUGGUGAAUUAUGAUCUUGCUAUCUAUAUUAUAAUUUUUCCUAAUGGAAUUUCUAAGAAUUUAUUUUAAUGAGCUAGAUGUGAUGUGAAUUAGGUGUAUUCUAAUUAUGAUUAAUUAUUUUGAUCACACUAUUAGUAUGAUAUUGUAUUUAUUGGUUUUUAAUUUAGUAAGUGAUUUCCCUAACUUAGCUUUUCCUACAAGCUUGAUCUCAUUAAUUAGUGUAGUAUUGAGCAAGCCACAUGUGAGAGCUUUAAUUGUGCAUUAAUUAAUUGGAUGACUUAGUGGGCAAGUUGCAAGUGUGAGUAUUGAAGAAGCUACACUAGUAGCUUAGGGAGCAAGCUUAUGCUCUAAACAAAACCACUCUCUCUCUCUUCUCUCCCCUCAUUCACACGCCCCUCACCCCUCUCUCAUCUCUCUCUCUUUCUUCCUUAAUCCUCCAUUGUUAACCAUUCUCAAAGCUUCAAAAAUCAUAUCUCCACCAUAGAUCUUCACUAAAUCAAAUCAAAACUUCAUUUCCUUUGAAUCAAGAGCAAGAUUGAUGGAGUUUCAAGCUUGAAGUUAGAGAGGAGAAUUUUUAUUUCUUUCAAAAUCCUUGAGUAAGUGAUGAAUCCUUUUAGAUCUAGACUUAAAUGUGUUGUAUAUGUGUAUAUAUGGAUAGAUCAAGCAAGAAAACACCCUAUAUCCCUUCUUUGUGAUUUUCGAAAAUUUGGGUCUUUUACCCUUCUAAAAAUUUUUCUUUUCCUUUUCUUAAAUUGAUGUUAUUUAAAUACUAUUGGGUUCCUAAUUAGUCUAUUUACAUGUGUAGAUAAUUGAAUUAAAAAGAGAUAUGAGAUUUGAAAUAGUUUAGUUUGUGUAAAUUUGGGAAGUUUUGUAUUUGAGGCUUGAUUGAUGAAUUGAUGGAUGAUAUAUGAUAUUGAGAGUGUUUAUAUGAGAUUUGAUGGAUUGGAUUGAUGGUUGAAAUUGAUUAGUAAUUUUUGAUAUGAGUUAGUUUGAUGUAAUUUGGGUAAAAUUGAUUCUAUGGUUUAAUUUACUAAUUGAUUGUUUAUUUAUGCUAUUAAGUGUGCCAAUUUGAUAGAUCUAAGGUUGGAUUAAUGAUUUAUGCAUGUUUACAAAUUUUCAAAAAGUUUAGUUUGUUAAAAAUUGGGACUUUGUGAUCUAUGUGUUAAUUGAUUAAAUUGGCUAAGUUUAAUUGUUAUUAAGCAUGAUAGAAAUGAUAAUUAGGGAUCAAUUUGGUUAAUUGUCAAGAAUGCCUAAAAUUGGUUAAGUUUAGUUUGCUAGUAAUUGGGAACUUUUGAGUAAUGAAAUAAAUACUUGAAUUGAUGAUGUUUAUAUGAUAGUUAGACUACUAGCAAGGAGAAAGCAUUAUUAAAUUGGUUAAUGAUGUUGAUUUGUGAAAAAUUUCCGAGUUUAGUUUGCGUGCAUACAUGAGAUCCUGUAUAUAAGAUGAGUUAUGAGCCAAGCAUGUCUAUAUGUGGCUUUUUGAUGAUUAUUUGAGCUUAUAUAUGCAAUAUGAGACGAAACGGACCAACCCCUAAUGACCUAUGUGUUGGCCGAAUGUAGGGAGAAAAAGGGGAAGUCGAUGUUUGAAUUUUCUUGAGUUAUAUGAUUAUGUAUUUAUGUUAUUGUGUAUUAUAUGAGCUUAAUUUGAAUUUUUGAGAAUUUUGCAUCGAAGAAAUCCAAAGUCUAGGUAUAAUUGCUUGUAUGUUCAAGUUUGGAGUCAUUUUAUGACCUUUUAUACCUACUGUUUCGUUGGGUUCUUGUUAUCUAAAGACCUUGAAAAUUUUAUGGUAAGAUUAAAUAAGAGUCAGGAGUAUACCGGUAAAAGUUCAAGUCAAUUGGACUUUGUUUACUAUUUUUAUAAAAUAGAAAACCAAAACUGCUACCUUCUGUCGAAAUGUUCGGUGAGUAUCCAAUAGAGUCACCUCUUCCAGUGUCCUUCCCUAACUUUUUGGAGCCUAAAUAUUUAUUUUUAAGACAUGAGUGUCUUAUCUAAGUACCCACCAAAUUUCAAGCCUUUUCGGCAACGUUUACUAUUUUUCAAAAAUAAUAGUUUUCAAUUGCUCAAAACUGCCGAAUAUGGUAGACUGUAAGGAAAACAGUCAUAUCUCCUAAACUACUUGGUAGUUUUUCAUCCUUACUUUUUUUGAAUGAAACUAGACUCAAAGUAGGUUUUACAUGGUAUAGGUUGUGACUCCAGUGGAGCUCUGUACCGAAUCUGGUGAAGUCUUUAAAUCGAGUCAGUGCAGAAUGAUGUUUGUUUGUGACAUGUCUAUGUGUGAAUUUAUAUGUUUAUGUGAUUAUGCUUGUUUAUGUGCUUGAUUGCUAUGAGUUUAAUUCGAGUUGAGUGUUAAGUCGAGAGUAGGACUUGUGAAUCCUUAGGAGUUAAGUAUACCUAGGGAUUGAGAUUUAGUUGGGUAAAUAGAAGAUGAGUGAUAAGUUAAAGUUUGAGAUGAGAUUGAAUCUUAGUAAAUGAGUUUCUAACUGAGGUUUAUCUUAUCUCAUGAACCACUCCGACGUUGUGACAUCUGAAUAUACAAGCAGAGGACGGAGGUAAGAUCGUCCAAGUACUACGAGAGUAAGCUAAGUUUGUCAGGUGGGCAUUAUUUUGAUAUACCUAUUAUACGAGCUUUCUUAAAUGAUAUGAUAUUUAUGAUUAUGAAUUGAGUUAAUGUUAUGCUUGAAACUAAUUGACUUGCCAAGUUUUGUUAAUAAUGACUUGUGUGUUACCCUCUACUGUUGAGACGAAUUCGGUCCUGCCACAAGCGGGAUUUUGUGCACAGAGGUGACUGUGAGCCGUCGAUCGGGUCGGCCGGUCACGGUACUUGAGAGGGAGGCCUACUUCUCAGUACCUUUAAUGAUGAGUAGUGGAUGUGGUACAUACAUAAUGAAUGUUUAAACUGCGCAGUUACUUUAUUGUGAUGUUAUGAUUUGCGAAAUUGCAUGCACAGGUUCUUCUCUAACUAAAACCCCUGUGUGUUGCUUAAUGUGGCAAGUUCAAUUUAUAGCUCUAAGAGCAAGCUUUCUUUUGUUUUUCGGCAUAUGUACACUGAGUACUUUGUACUCAGCCCUGCAUGUAUUUCUAAAUGUGCAGGAUAAGCGAGAAGGAGGAAGAUCGGUCUGGUGCUGGUGGGGACUUUUUGGACGACGUUGUUCCUUUUACCGUAUUUAUAUUACAUACGGUAGCUUUUUGAUGUCGAUGUUUAUAUUUUGGACUUAGACAAGAAGUAUACUCUCGGCUAUAUGUCUUCAUACAUAUAGUCUGUUCACGUUUUGCUGCGAG